UUACGGCCAUAACAUGUUGAAACAGCGGUUCCCGUACGCUCACCGAAGUUAGGCAACAACAUCGUGCCUGGUUAGUACUUAGAUGGAUGACUGCUUUGGAAUAGCGUGUGCUGUAAG